UGGGGAAUAUUGCACAAUGGGCGAAAGCCUGAUGCAGCGACGCCGCGUGAGGGAUGACGGCCUUCGGGUUGUAAACCUCUUUCAGUAGGGACGAAGCGCAAGUGACGGUACCUGCAGAAGAAGCACCGGCUAACUACGUGCCAGCAGCCGCGGUAAUACGUAGGGUGCGAGCGUUGUCCGGAAUUACUGGGCGUAAAGAGCUCGUAGGCGGUUUGUCAUGUCGUCUGUGAAAUCCUAGGGCUUAACCCUGGACGUGCAGGCGAUACGGGCUGACUUGAGUACUACAGGGGAGACUGGAAUUUCUGGUGUAGCGGUGGAAUGCACAGAUAUCAGGAAGAACACCGAUGGCGAAGGCAGGUCUCUGGGUAGUAACUGACGCUGAGGAGCGAAAGCAUGGGUAGCGAACAGG
rnacentral:rRNA from 1 species